ensembl:lncRNA
UUUUUUAAUUAUUAUUAUUAUUAACUGACAUCUCUAAAUAAAUAGAUAGAUAGAUAGAUAGAUAGAUAGAUCAUCUUUGUGCAGGUACUGUGGUGUAAGAGGAAUAAACGCUCCAGGUGGUUGACUGUAACGCCGCUUCUUCACACCGCUCUGUCGUUGAUUAUUUUCCUCUAAGGGCGUGCCACGAGUGUUUUAUUUUUAUUUAUUCAUUUACUCGUUAAGGAUCUUUGCGAAGGUCUCGGCUGAAAUUUCAGCGAGUUUAGAAAUGUGUGAAAUUCUAUACGUGUGGAUAUUUUUGUUUCUUUGUUCUUGCAGUGAACGACAAUAAAGAUAAGCACUAACCACUGAAACCAUAAUAAACUGGUCAUUGCCCCCCCACCAAAAAAAAGGGUUACACCUCCUCACUUCCACUUCAGGGAGGGGCAGGGACUCCAACCUCAUGCCGUUUGUUUUCCGUGUAGAGGAUCUGCUGUGUCUUGGGACCGAUGCAGACGCCUCCUCAGAUCUUCUCGGUCAGUGCCUGCUCUUGGGUCAGCAGAUUUUGUCGCUUUCAAGCUGAUUCCUUGGAGG